AAGUCGUAACAAGGUUUCCGUAGGUGAACCUGCGGAAGGAUCAUUAACACGUAUCCAACGUUAAAAACACCCCUGUAGGCCCACACGGCCGGCAAUCCAAGUGGUGUACUUCGGUACCCCUACAUCGGCACACGAUGAUAUGUCGAUUUCGCGAAUGGACUAAAAGCCUCGCACCAAAAACCGAACAACUGUUAACAAUGGAUAUUUUGGUUCUC
rnacentral:misc_RNA from 1 species